rnacentral:rRNA from 1 species
AUUUAGAGGAAGUAAAAGUCGUAACAAGGUCUCCGUUGGUGAACCAGCGGAGGGAUCAUUACCGAGUUUACAACUCCCAAACCCCUGUGAACAUACCACUUGUUGCCUCGGCGGAUCAGCCCGCUCCCGGUAAAACGGGACGGCCCGCCAGAGGACCCCUAAACUCUGUUUCUAUAUGUAACUUCUGAGUAAAACCAUAAAUAAAUCAAAACUUUCAACAACGGAUCUCUUGGUUCUGGCAUCGAUGAAGAACGCAGCAAAAUGCGAUAAGUAAUGUGAAUUGCAGAAUUCAGUGAAUCAUCGAAUCUUUGAACGCACAUUGCGCCCGCCAGUAUUCUGGCGGGCAUGCCUGUUCGAGCGUCAUUUCAACCCUCAAGCACAGCUUGGUGUUGGGACUCGCGUUAAUUCGCGUUCCCCAAAUUGAUUGGCGGUCACGUCGAGCUUCCAUAGCGUAGUAGUAAAACCCUCGUUACUGGUAAUCGUCGCGGCCACGCCGUUAAACCCCAACUUCUGAAUGUUGACCUCGGAUCAGGUAGGAAUACCCGCUGAACUUAAGCAUAUCAA